GCUACCCACAUGAGCAAGAGAGGAUUUUUUUUUAAAGAAAGUUUUUUAACGUUUUUCUUUAGCAAGAGAGGAUGAGGUUGAAGCACAUCCCUAACACCAUACAGAUCUAAAGAACUUGGGAACCUCCCAGCCAUCAGGAAAAUAAUCUUGUUCUUGGAGUUUAUUCACAAGGUUUGUCAUAUGAUUUCCACGAGCCUGGUGAAGAUGUAUACAAUCAUAAUACAAGGCAGUACAUUUCCCUGCAUCCAGUUUGAGGCCUGCUACCAGCAGGAACA